GGCGCCCGGAUCCUGCUGCCCUGCCACGUGCGCGGGUCUGACCACUCCCACCCAGACACCCAGGGGCGCCGGCCCCCUGCACCCUUCCCCAUCGCCCGACCUUUCCCAAAUGAACAACAGUAGAAAGACUCGGGGCUUUGGAGUCAGAUUCGCUGGGCUCCAGCUCAGGAUUCUCUGCUUUUUAGGUGGGUGGUCUUGGACAAACUCGGAUGCUGUGUUCCAGUUUGCAAAAUGGAGAGCCGCUGUCUCGUGGGGUUGCCGGCAGGAUUUAUUGACACCGGCAGGAAUUUACGCCUCCAACCGAAACCUCAGAGUAAAGCCUAACCCUGACUUGGGGCCCUGCCGCCCCGCACCUCCCUUCCCCCCCCCACCCACCCGGCCAUUCCCCCCCCCCCCGCCCCCUGGCCCCAGUUCUCAUCCAGUCUUUGCUGGGCGAUGCUCCCAACAGCGGAUCCUGGCUCUGCCUCCAAACGAUGGUGGGACCUCUCAAAAGACCUCGGUUUUGAAAUGAGAGCGACAGUGCCUGGCCUACCUUCGUGGGGAAGAUGACGUCAUGAGGCCUAAUGAGAUCACAUCCGUGACAAUGCUGUGGAAUUACAGCUCUCUCCAUCAGCUGACUCCCCACGCUGGUAUCCACCCUCCCUGGCCCUUUCCUGGCGCCCCUCUGUGAUCCCAGGAACGGAGCUGUGGAUGUGAACGGAGCUUGGACGCCCCCACUUCUGGCUGACUUCACUCCACCCCAUCCUCCAGCUUCUGAGGAACAAGAGGGUUGAAGCUGGACACACAGAGGAAGGUCACCUCCACCAACACACAGGGAGGCUCCAAGUACAGUACGAAUGGACCCAAAGCAGAGCUCUUAUAGAAGCAGAGUCACUGAAAUAAAGUGCAAGAGUCAAAUUGCCCAGUUUCCAGUGUAAAGAAGCCGGAAGAGCCACAGGCUGCUCAUGUAAGAAAUGGGAGGCACGCAUUGAUGAGCAAACGCAUGUAAAGUGUUUAGCAGGGGUUUGCCGUAUACUAAGCAUUCAAUCAGUGGUAGCAAUGUUAAUAGUUUGUAUUAACAAUAAUAACUUCAGUGUCCUAUUUUUUUUAAUUUUUAUUGAAAUAUAGUUGAUUUACAGUGUUGUGUUAGUUUCAGGUGUCAAUGUCCUAUUUUUAAUGUUACCAGGAAUUUUUAGUAGUCUGUGCCAACUGUCAAUGCCAUUACACAUAGCCCGGCACAAAAGGAGAAUUUCUUUCAUUGUUUAGGAUAAAUGCCUAUUUACUCAGCAAGUUUAAAGUCUUGAGACACGUUGUAUUCAACGGUUCAAUAAAAUUCUGUUUAAAAAAAGAUGGUGAGAGGUGCAUGGAUCUAGGGAUAUGAACAGCUAACCAGUCUCUUGGAGGAGGUGAGAGUAUGAACAUAAUCCCUCCAGGGGAAGAAGAAAUCAUGGCAAGGGAGACAAUGGGAGAGAUGGAGAAAUAGGACAGGGGCAAACUAGGAUUGGCUGUUAGGGCUCAUGAAGCAAAGGAUAAAGCGUAUAAAGAGCUUUAGAUAACAGAGCCCCGUCUCUCCAUCACGUGUCACACACACACACACUCACACACACACACACACUCACACACACGGGCCCCACAGUAGCAGAGUCAUCAAAAGGGCACUGAACUCUCAGUCGGAGUGACAUGGGUUCCAGCCCGACAUCCCAGCCCUAUGUGUCACAGGAAAACAGGCUGAGUCACAGAAGACCUGGCUUCCAAGCUGGUUCUGUAAGAAUCAUGAACUUGGGCAAGUCACUUCACCUGAUAAGCUCAAUAAGGAAAAUGAGGCAACUUGAACUCUCUUCUCUACCAGUCUGAUCAACCUGGGACAGAGAAACUAGGAGCACCUCUCCUGGAUGUGCUAAUUUUGGAUAACUACUCAUACGAUGCAAGUGUGCAGAUUACUGCUGAUUUCAAUAAACACUCUAGAAAAACGCAUGCCCUGUAUUACUGGUACCUGCCCUAGUCCCCUCCCGGCCCCCAUCACUGGCACCCAUUUGCUUUUAAAAUCCACUUUAUCUUGAAUCAUGUAAGACAAAUACAUUAAUACAAGUUUUUAUGGAAUUUGUGAUGCCUUGAAUAAUGGUCAGAAGGUGCAUGUCUUUGUGUGUUGGUGAAGAAGGAAAUAAACUAUUUUUAAAGCUAAACAAACAAACAACCCACCCUAGUGUCCAGGAGUAACACAUAGAUGAGGGAUGGAGAGAAGGAAACAGCUCAAGGUGGGCAUGCUUUUGGCAGGAGAAGCUCCAGCGCAGGCUGGGGGAGAAGGAGAAGGAGGGGGGGUGUAGCUGAUCGCUGUCAUCCACAGUAGCUCCAGCUGUGCCCGGCAGGUCCCGCCCACACAGCCAGGGGAGACGGAGCCAGGGAGGACUGGGACGGGACUGACUGAUAGGCUGUGGCCAGAGAGCACAAGCGCAGGCCGAACCUGAGGGCUCUGAGAGGAAACCAUUGUGACACCAGCAUUUUCCCCUCAUCAUCUUGAGUCUAGGAAAGGGAAGUCAGGAGUCAUCACAUCACUUCCUCGUCACGACCUUUCCUACCUUCCCGCUCCCUCCGCCAUCCCCCCCUCUUUCCCAAGAUUGACGUGGCUCCUCAGGACGGGGAGAUCACAAUUGAGGGGAGUAAGACCAAGGCAGCAGGGGAAGUGGUCCUGAAGAGGGUCAGGAAGGGUGACUUCUGAGUUCCAGGUCUGAUGCUGGAAUGGGGGAAGGAACUGGGGGUCUGGAAACCAGGGUUCUGUUCAGACAUCCCUCAAUUUCUCCUUUGUGAAAAUAAAAGCUGGGAAGAUUCCCAAUGCUGCUCUCUCUGUGAUGACAUGAGAGUGAGAAUAUACAGUCUUUGAGGUUCCUAGGAACCUGGCCUGGUUCUCAUACUCCUCCACCACUACCGGGCGGUUGAUGGGGAGGCAGGCAGGUGAGGAUGCUGCAGACGAGGCAGAUGGGGACGAAGAUGUUGCAACUGGGUGGUGAGUGGUACUCAGCGAAUGGAGAGGAGGAUUACAGAUGGUGGUAACCAAGGUUGGGAAGGAAAGGAGGUUCAGGCCGUGGACAGGGGCACAUCAUCCCAAGCACUGCACAGCAGGUCUCCUGACGGAAGGGCACCUGUCUUCACCUCCCACCUGAACAUGGUGAUGGGCACAUAGCAGAUGCUCAGCAAUGCCCAGGGAGGAACUAGCAAGACAGUUUGUCUCUCCUAAGGCCCCUGAAGAAUGGUCAUUUCCGUAGUGCAGCCAGGGGUAUGGGAGACUGUCUCUUCCCCCAAGCCGGGACCUCCCAGGUGCUUGGACGGUGACCCAGGACUUGCAUCCACUCCCUGACCCCUUCAUGGUGCCCCCAUCCAGCUCUCCAGACAUUCUUUAUGCAACAACAUUUAUUAAGUACCUGCCUACUUGCUCCAAGCAGGAUACUGGGCUAGACCCUGAGGAUCCAGAAAUGAACAAGACUCAAUCCUGACCACAACGAGCUCAGUCUAGCUGGG